GCUUACACAUGCAAGUCGAACGAUGAUGCCCAGCUUGCUGGGUGGAUUAGUGGCGAACGGGUGAGUAACACGUGAGUAACCUGCCCCUGACUCUGGGAUAAGCGUUGGAAACGACGUCUAAUACUGGAUAUGAUCACUGGCCGCAUGGUCUGGUGGUGGAAAGAUUUUUUGGUUGGGGAUGGACUCGCGGCCUAUCAGCUUGUUGGUGAGGUAAUGGCUCACCAAGGCGACGACGGGUAGCCGGCCUGAGAGGGUGACCGGCCACACUGGGACUGAGACACGGCCCAGACUCCUACGGGAGGCAGCAGUGGGGAAUAUUGCACAAUGGGCGAAAGCCUGAUGCAGCAACGCCGCGUGAGGGAUGACGGCCUUCGGGUUGUAAACCUCUUUUAGUAGGGAAGAAGCGAAAGUGACGGUACCUGCAGAAAAAGCACCGGCUAACUACGUGCCAGCAGCCGCGGUAAUACGUAGGGUGCAAGCGUUGUCCGGAAUUAUUGGGCGUAAAGAGCUCGUAGGCGGUUUGUCGCGUCUGCUGUGAAAUCCCGAGGCUCAACCUCGGGCUUGCAGUGGGUACGGGCAGACUAGAGUGCGGUAGGGGAGAUUGGAAUUCCUGGUGUAGCGGUGGAAUGCGCAGAUAUCAGGAGGAACACCGAUGGCGAAGGCAGAUCUCUGGGCCGUAACUGACGCUGAGGAGCGAAAGCAUGGGGAGCGAACAGGAUUAGAUACCCUGGUAGUCCAUGCCGUAAACGUUGGGCGCUAGAUGUAGGGACCUUUCCACGGUUUCUGUGUCGUAGCUAACGCAUUAAGCGCCCCGCCUGGGGAGUACGGCCGCAAGGCUAAAACUCAAAGGAAUUGACGGGGGCCCGCACAAGCGGCGGAGCAUGCGGAUUAAUUCGAUGCAACGCGAAGAACCUUACCAAGGCUUGACAUACACCGGAAACGGCCAGAGAUGGUCGCCCCCUUGUGGUCGGUGUACAGGUGGUGCAUGGUUGUCGUCAGCUCGUGUCGUGAGAUGUUGGGUUAAGUCCCGCAACGAGCGCAACCCUCGUUCUAUGUUGCCAGCGGGUUAUGCCGGGGACUCAUAGGAGACUGCCGGGGUCAACUCGGAGGAAGGUGGGGAUGACGUCAAAUCAUCAUGCCCCUUAUGUCUUGGGCUUCACGCAUGCUACAAUGGCCGGUACAAAGGGCUGCGAUACCGUAAGGUGGAGCGAAUCCCAAAAAGCCGGUCUCAGUUCGGAUUGAGGUCUGCAACUCGACCUCAUGAAGUCGGAGUCGCUAGUAAUCGCAGAUCAGCAACGCUGCGGUGAAUACGUUCCCGGGCCUUGUACACACCGCCCGUCAAGUCAUGAAAGUCGGUAACACCCGAAGCCGGUGGCCUAACCCUUGUGGAAGGAGCCU
rnacentral:rRNA from 1 species